UCACAGACUGCCCCAGGUCUUCUCCCCAGAGCAGUAAGGCGGUGGCGGUGAGUGAGCUCAGGCCCCUGGGCCAGAUAGACGAAAUAGAAUUGGCUGCCACGGGAUCCUGGCCCAGCUCUGUCUAGGCCUGAGGACACACUCUCCAACCUGAGCCAGACUGCCAGGGAAACUCAUAAGGGCUUCCUGCAGGAGGAGCUUCUACCUGCUCAUCUUCCUGAGGGAGCUGACGUGCAGAACCAAGGCACUGAGGAGGAUUGCAGGACUGGCGCAGGGCGGGGGUAGGAAGGGAGGAGGCACACCUGUGCUCACAACCGAAACAGUGUGUCCAAGACACCUGCUGUCCUCUCAAUGCCCUCACCCCUCUCCUCCUCCCUUCCUCCAUCUCCGCCUUCCUUCCUUUAUUCCUUUAAAAAAAAAUUCAAUAUACAAGUGUUCUAGAAAGCCUGAUGUUACAGAGUGAAAAAUCAAAUAUCAAUAAAUAACCCUACUAAUUAUUUUUGCUC